AGACCAUAAGUGAAUAGCAUUUUGGAGUGCCGCCAUCUUGAGUGUGGCUGUUGAAAUAUUUUCCUAGAAGAGAGUAAAUAUGCCGGUUUCUGUAUCUCCAGCAAUUCGGUUCUCUAGAUAUGCUGCUUUACUUGUUGGUAUUGGCUAUGGUUACAAAAGAAAUGAAUACCUAAAACCUUAUGGAGCCAAAGACAGAAAACUCCAUGAGAAAAAGCUGAAAGAACAAGCUGAGUUGAAGCGUUUGCGAGAAGCUGCAAAUGAAGG